rnacentral:rRNA from 1 species
UCCAGACUCCUACGGGAGGCAGCAGUGGGGGAUAUUGCACAAUGGGGGAAACCCUGAUGCAGCGACGCCGCGUGGGUGAAGAAGUAUUUCGGUAUGUAAAGCCCUAUCAGCAGGGAAGAAAGAAGACGGUACCUGACUAAGAAGCCCCGGCUAACUACGUGCCAGCAGCCGCGGUAAUACGUAGGGGGCGAGCGUUAUCCGGAUUCACUGGGUGUAAAGGGAGCGUAGACGGCCGUGCAAGCCAGGAGUGAAAGCCCGGGGCCCAACCCCGGGACUGCUCUUGGAACUGUGCGGCUGGAGUGCGGGAGGGGCAGGCGGAAUUCCUGGUGUAGCGGUGAAAUGCGUAGAUAUCAGGAGGAACACCGGCGGCGAAGGCGGCCUGCUGGACCGCGACUGACGUUGAGGCUCGAAAGCGUGGGGAGCGAACAGGAUUAGAUACCCGAGUACC